rnacentral:lncRNA from 1 species
CAGAACCAAAGUCCAAAAUGAUUAAGUUUCUGGCACAGAAUCAUGCCAGCAGUUACGUGGUGGGGCUCAGUUCAGAGCACAGAUCUUUCCAUUCUCUUAUUUCUGCACCACUGCACUGCAAGAAUCUUAUACACUCCUGUUUAUAAGAGCAGCCUAUUAAAAAAUAUUCUGGGACACAUCUAAAAAGCCAUAAUAUAAGAAAAAAAUAAAAGCUCUGUUUUGGAUUUAUCCUGGAAGCUGGGAGAAAACAUAUUUUUUGGACAUGUUUGGAAAUGUACGAUAGUUUUUGAUUCUUAUCCUUGUGCUCCAGGCUUUCUUUGGGACACUUAAGAGAUUAUCUUUGGGAUUUAGGAAAGCACCAUGUCAUUUUAUUUUUCAAAUCCUCAGAGUGCUAGAAGUUUUGGGUCUUAUUUCCUAGUCUGACCUUUCAUUGUAGCUAUUAUUUUUUGAUAUAUAAUAUUCAUAAUUCAUUUUGUUGAAGAGGAGAUUUUAUUUAAUGUCAAUAAAUAUGUAUGAGUGUUGGGAGGAACAUACCUGAGCUGUGAGGGCUGGCGAGAAUUAUAGAGGACAGUACAGUUAAAUAGAAUGUGGGGAUAAUGUCAUUGACUGUAAACCUCAUGAUUGAGAAAAAGAUGGGGAUCAUCUUCUGCUGAAAUUCAUCGUGGAAAGAUUCUCAAAAGCAUAUUAGAAACAGAUGACAACAUUAAAAGGACACAGUUUAUUUUAUUUGGAAAAUAGUAUUCCCUUGUGGGAGAUUUGGGAUAACAGACUUCAAAAUUUUGGCUCUGUUCAAAAUUCCCUGACUCAUUGGGUGGCUUGAAAAAAUGAUUUAAAUCCACUAUCCUGCAAGAUAGAAUAAUGAUAAUUUAUAACACUGUACUUGGCACUUGGGUGUAAUUAUAUUAAUGGCUAGUGAGUAUGUAUGAUUACUAUGUGUCAAAUCAUAUGCCAAGCACUUUACAAGCUGUAACUCUGCAUCCUCUGGGAAGCAUGUACCAUUCUUGCUCUUAUUUCACAUGUAAGAAAAUUGUAGGGCCGGGCGCAGUGGCUCACGUCAGUAAUUAAUUCCAGCACUUUGGGAGGCCAAGGCAGGCGGCGGAUCACAUGAGGUCAGGAGUUCAAGACCAUCCUCGCCAACAUGGUGAAACCCCAUCUCUACUAAAAAUAUAAAAAUUAGCUGGGCGUGGGGUGUGCACCUGUAAUCCCAGCUUCUAGGGAGGCUGAGACAGGAGAAUUGUUUGAACCCGGAAGGAGGAGGUUGCAGUGAGCCAAGAUUGUGCCACUGCACUCCAACCUAAGCGACAGAGUGAGACUCCAUCUCAAAAACAAAAACAAAAAGAAAA